rnacentral:rRNA from 1 species
GAUACCUGCGCACCAGGGAAAUCCGGUGCGCGCAGGGGGAAGGCGCGAAGCAUACGGAAAGCUGCGGCAAGUACGGAAAAGCUGAGAGCAGGCUUCCAGGAAAAGCUUCUAGCACAACACGCAUCGGCCCGUACCGAAAAUGGACACACAUGGGCAAGGAGAGAAUCCUGAGGUGAGCGAGAGAACUAUAGCUAAGGAACUCUGCAAAAUGACCCCGUAACUUAGGGAGAAGGGGUGCUCCAGAAAUGGAGCCGCAGUAAAACGGCCCAAGCGACUGUUUACCAAAAACACAGCUCUCUGCGAAGGCGCAAGCCGAAGUAUAGGGGGUGACGCCUGCCCGGUGCUGGAAGGUCAAGGGGAGCUGUCAGCGCAAGCGAAGCAGCGAGCCGAAGCCCCAGUAAACGGCGGCCGUAACGAUAACGGUCCUAAGGUAGCGAAAUUCCUUGUCGGGCAAGUUCCGACCCGCACGAAAGGCGUAACGAUUUGGGCGCUGUCUCAGCUGUAGACUCGGUGAAGUCUUAGUACCUGUGAAGAUGCAGGUUGCCCGCGACUAGACGGAAAGACCCCAUGGAGCUUCACUGCAGGUUGACAUUGGGCUUGGAUGCAUGAUGUACAGGAUAGGUGGGAGGCUGUGAGCCGUGCGCGCCAGCGUACGGGGAGCCGCUGUUGGGAUACCACCCUUCAUGCAUCUAGGUCCUAACCGGAGGCAACGGGCCACGGGACAGUGUCAGUCGGGCAGUUUGACUGGGGCGGUCGCCUCCCAAAGAGUAACGGAGGCGCCCAAAGAUACCCUCAGCAUGGAUGGAAACCAUGCAUAGAGUGCAAAGGCAUAAGGGUGUCUGACUGCGAGACAUACAGGUCGAGCAGGGACGAAAGUCGGGCUUAGUGAUCCGGCGGAUCCGAAUGGAAGGGCCGUCGCUCAACGGAUAAAAGCUACCCUGGGGAUAACAGGCUGAUCUCCCCCAAGAGUUCACAUCGACGGGGAGGUUUGGCACCUCGAUGUCGGCUCAUCGCAUCCUGGAGCUGAAGUCGGUUCCAAGGGUUGGGCUGUUCGCCCAUUAAAGCGGUACGCGAGCUGGGUUCAGAACGUCGUGAGACAGUUCGGUCCCUAUCUGUCGUGGGCGCAGGAGGUUUGAGGAGAGCUGCCCCUAGUACGAGAGGACCGGGGUGGACGGACCGAUGGUGCACCAGUUGUCACGCCAGUGGCACAGCUGGGCAGCCAAGUCCGGACGGGAUAAGCGCUGAAGGCAUCUAAGCGUGAAGCCCCCUCCAAGAUGAGACCUCCCAUUGGCGACAAGUAAGGCCCCUCGAAGACGACGAGGUUGAUAGGCCGCGAGUGCAAGCGCAGCAAUGUGCUUAGCGGGGCGGUACUAAUAGGCCGAGGACUUGGCC